UGUGUCACUAGUUUAUGCAGAGAUUGUGUAUCUAAGUUUUUUGGUUGGAGAUAGUGAUGUAUAUUGUAAGUGAACAAAACUAUAAUAUAGUAAUGUGUGAGAUAGUAUAGUAGCGACUGAAUUGUGUUGCAUGCUUUUAAAGAUAUGAUUGGACUCCAGCACUGUAAGUAAACAUUAACACUUUGUUUUAUUCAUCUGUAUUGCUAUAGAAUUUCUAUUAUUAUGAGUCUAUUACAUUUCUCGCGUAGGUACCAGUACCCAUUGGUACUAUAUUACUUAGCAUGUCUUAGUACUAUGGAAUGUUUUAUUGUAUUUGUUUACAUAUGUUCUGUUUUAUACUAGUUGUGUAUAUGAAUUGUAACUCCAUACCACAUUGUAACUAGGUCAAGACUCGUCUAUGUUGAUGUUCAUGUGUGCAGUGACUACAUACUUUAUAUAUCUUUCAGGCUGCAAUUACUGGGACACGCGAUGAGACUGCAAUUACUGAGACACGCGAUGAGACUGCACCCAGCAUUCAAAAAAACAACCAUGUGGUACUUUUUCGCCAGUUAAUGCCCCUGAUAGGGCGCAUGUGGUAUCGGUCCUGCUAGUGACCAGCCUAUAAGCCCAACCGUAGACAUGUCAGCAUCCAAAGCGCCUCGAGUUUUCCCUAGUCAUGGUGUGACUGAGUCCAUAAUUGUUGCAUCACUGGGGAUCAGAGUUGCUGAUGCCUCUUGAUCGCAGAAGGCUAGACACGGUCUGCUAUGUCACCGCAUAAGGCCACUCACAUGGAUCCGCCUCCAACAGGCCAGCCAAAGUCACCCAUGUGGUACCAACCGUUUGUUUCCUUACGAGUACGCUUAAUCAUGUUGAUCUUGAUUGUGUCAACUGCGGUUCAAUCCCUUUGUAUUAAUUGUGCGCCUUUUGUAAGAAGAUACACACAACUUUCUGUUUUAGUGGCAUACUCCAAUUUUUCAUAUGUUAA